UCCUCUGGCAGAGGGCAGGGGAGAAAAGGAGGCCUGGGCAGCCCAGCCCCACUGUGGGCUCAGGGCUGUGAGCACCAUGGCCUGGAUUCCUCUGCUCCUGGCGCUCCUCUCUCACUGCACAGGGUCCCUCUCCCAGCAGCUUGUUGUGACCCAGCCGCCCUCCCUCUCUGCCUCUCCGGGAGCCACAGUCACAAUCACCUGCACCCUGAGCAGCGGCUUCAAUAUUGGUGACUACGAUAUCCGCUGGUACCAGCAGAAGCCAGGGAGCCGUCCCCGGUAUUUCCUGAGAUAUAAGUCAGACUCAGAUAAGUACCAGGGCUCUGGGGUCCCCAGCCGCUUCUCUGGAUCCAAAGACGCCUCGGCCAAUGAGGGGCUCCUGACCAUCUCGGGGCUGCAGCCUGAGGAUGAGGCUGACUAUUACUGCAAUGCAGAUCUGGGCGAUGGGAACAGCAACCGUUACCCACAGUGUCUCAGAGGACGAGGAAGUGAGACAAAAACCCUGCUCCCGAGGCGGUGGCUCUGAGCCUCCUUCAGCGAGGA